AAAGUAUUCCCUCCGUCCCAAAAUUCUUGUCUUAGAUUUGUCUAGAUACGGAUGUAUCAAGUCACAUUUUAGUAUUAGAUACAUCCGUAUCUAGACAAAUCUAAGACAAGAAAUUUUGGACAGAGGGAGUAGUUG
rnacentral:pre_miRNA from 1 species